UAUGCUGUUAAGCGCUACAUGUCGCCAUUC
rnacentral:piRNA from 1 species